CAGUCGCCGCGGGAAUACGAAGGGGGCUAGCGUUGUUCGGAAUUACUGGGCGUAAAGCGCACGUAGGCGGAUAUUUAAGUCAGGGGUGAAAUCCCGCAGCUCAACUGCGGAACUGCCUUUGAUACUGGGUAUCUUGAGUAUGGAAGAGGUUAGUGGAAUUGCGAGUGUAGAGGUGAAAUUCGUAGAUAUUCGCAGGAACACCAGUGGCGAAGGCGGCUAACUGGUCCAUAACUGACGCUGAGGUGCGAAAGCGUGGGGAGCAAACAGGAUUAGAUACCCCUGUAGUCCCUGUCUCUUAUAC
rnacentral:rRNA from 1 species